AGUGAACGCUGGCGGCGUGCUUAACACAUGCAAGUCGAACGAGAACGGAUUAUAGCUUGCUAUAAUUGUCAGCUAAGUGGCGCACGGGUGAGUAAUGUAUAGGUAAUAUGCCUUUUACUAAGGAAUAACAAAUGGAAACUUUUGCUAAUACCUUAUACUCCUUAUUAACCUAAGUUAAUAAGGGAAAGAUUUAUUGGUAAGAGAUUAGCUCGUAUUGUAUCAGUUAGUUGGUGGGGUAAUGGCUUACCAAGACUAUGACACAUAACUGGUUUGAGAGGAUGAUCAGUCACACUGGAACGGAGACACGGUCCAGACUCCUACGGGAGGCAGCAGUGGGGAAUAUUGCACAAUGGACGGAAGUCUGAUGCAGCAACGCCGCGUGGAGGAUGACACAUUUCGGUGCGUAAACUCCUUUUAUAUGAGAAGAUAAUGACGGUAUUAUAUGAAUAAGCACCGGCUAACUCCGUGCCAGCAGCCGCGGUAA
rnacentral:rRNA from 1 species